GGAAUAGCUCAGUGGUUGAGUGUGUGCCUAGCAUGCAUGAGGCUCUGGGUUCAAUCCCCAGUACCUCCA
rnacentral:tRNA from 1 species